rnacentral:rRNA from 1 species
GACGAACGCUGGCGGCGUGCUUAACACAUGCAAGUCGAACGGUAAGGCCCAGCUUGCUCUGUGUGCUAGUGUGGCACACGUGUGUGACACAUGAGAAUACCCCGCCCGACACUGUGGUAUGCCUUGAAGACACUGGCGCUUACUCCGGAUGAGCUCCCCUCGUACGGUGUGCGGGUUGAAAGAUUUUGCGGUUUGGGAUGGGCUCACGGGCUAUUAGCUUGUUGGUGGGGUAAUGGGCUACCAAGGCGUCGACGGGUAGCCGGCCUGAGAGGGUGACCGGCCACAUUGGGACUGAGAUACGGCCCAGACUCCUACGGGAGGCAGCAGUGGGGAAUAUUGCACAAUGGGCGGAAGCCUGAUGCAGCAACGCCGCGUGCGGGAUGACGGCCUUCGGGUUGUAAACCGCUUUCAGCAGGGAAGAAGCGAGAGUGACGGUAAUUGGUAAAGAAGCGCCGGCUAACUACGUG